rnacentral:rRNA from 1 species
UACGUAUGGUGCAAGCGUUAUCCGGAUUUACUGGGUGUAGAGGGAGCGUAGGCGGCGCGUUAAGUCUGAUGUGAAAACCCGAGGCUCAACCACGGGAGUGCAUUGGAAACUGGCGUGCUGGAGUGCCGGAGAGGUAAGCGGAAUUCCUAGUGUAGCGGUGAAAUGCGUAGAUAUUAGGAGGAACACCAGUGGCGAAGGCGGCUUACUGGACGGCAACUGACGCUGAGGCUCGAAAGCGUGGGGAGCAAACAGG